CUUUAAAAGCACUUGGGGACUUUUUAAAGUGCAGCUAACCCGCCUGAGAGGGGCAGGAGCUGCAGUCGUGCAGGCGGGGAGAGCUGGCAUGCUGCAGGGAAAUAAAGAGCUGUUGCCAUGUUGGCUCCUCUGCAAUUCCAGAUUCACUUUCCGCUGUGAAAACAUUGUUACGACAUUGCCCAAAGGAACAGGCUGCUUGCAAGGCAAGGGAAGCUUGAAAACCACAAUGCUCCUCACCAAGGUAUGAUCAUCUGGUGGGAAUUCCCAACUUCUUAAGCAUCUUGUCUGCAUCUAAGGACAUUUGUAUGGCAAGACAGGGGGAGCAGCAUGGAGACUGCAAGCGCUCACCCAUAUUGGAUGGGUGGUUAAGACAGAAAGGUGACCAGCAUAAAUCCCGCGCCAUGCAACGGGUGCAUGCUCCAUUGUUAUUGCAGAUGUGUCAAUCCCCGGAAACAAAAGAAUCGACACCCGUCUAGGAACAAGCUCCGUUAGUUAGCAAUUCAGAAUGACUUCCAAAAGCAAUCCCUUAGUCUCCAAUGAUAUCUGUCUGACAACUACUUAAUCUCGGCAAGAGCUGCGUUAAACCAGCCUGUCAUCAUUGCUACCUCUCAGGUGUAGCUUGAAAAGCGGAGAAAGAGAGAGAGAUCUAUGAGUUUCAAUCACUUAGAAGAAAUUAUAACUUUUUAGAAGCCUGUAUGCAGAUAGCAUUUACCAUAUUGAAUGGAAGAUGACAGUUCCCAUAUAGACAGAGAGGUACAAUGCAAAAUGCCAGCUUCCAGGUGAUUCUAUCCCAUCUCUGAGGCUGUCGGGAGCUAUCAAAUUAAUGUUGAAAUAAUUGUCACUUGUGAAUACCUGCCAGUGUAACCAAGUCAGGUAUUUAAAAAAAAAAUCCCAAUUGAUCAACCUCAAAAACUGUUCUGAAUACUUAAGGAAAAAAGUUUUGCUGAGGUGUGACUCUGUUACAUAUUCAUUUCAGCAGAAAGAUACUUUUUUUUUUUUAAGAAUAGAAGCAAAAAUGAAAGUGCUUAAGUGUCUUCAUUGAAACAGUGUUAAUAUCAUCACUGAUUCCUUGAUUAUUUGAAUUGCAACUACUUUUAUGAUAAGAGAAGCAAAUAAAGAUUAGCUAAUGCUUGAACCUCUUGCUACU
rnacentral:lncRNA from 1 species